rnacentral:rRNA from 1 species
UACGGGGGGAGCAAGCGUUGUUCGGAAUUACUGGGCGUAAAGGGCGCGUAGGCGGCCUGCUAAGUCGGACGUGAAAUCCCCCGGCUCAACCGGGGAACUGCGUCCGAUACUGGUGGGCUCGAAUCCGGGAGAGGGAUGUGGAAUUCCAGGUGUAGCGGUGAAAUGCGUAGAUAUCUGGAGGAACACCGGUGGCGAAGGCGGCAUCCUGGACCGGUAUUGACGCUGAGGCGCGAAAGCCAGGGGAGCAAACGGG